rnacentral:tRNA from 1 species
GCCUGGGUGGCUUACUUAGUUAAAGCAUCUGACUUCAAGUCAUGAUCUCAUGGUUUGUGGGUUUGAGCCCCGUAUCGGGCU